rnacentral:rRNA from 1 species
AUGUACAGUGAUGAUAUCUACAUUGCUACCGUGCGCGUACCCGACGUUGGUGUCGAAGAAGGCGGAGAGAUACCGCCGGAGGUCGCCGUGGGCGGCGGUGUUGCCGAAGAUGAGCCGCUGCGCCUCCCUGCUCCCGCUGGAGUAGAUGUAGCUCUUAACCCCUUUGCGGUCCCACUCCGCGAGAGCUUGGACGACGUCGUCGUAGACUUCCCCCUUGAUCUCACCGCUCUCGAAGCCCCGCCGCCACACGCGGCCCUGCAGCUGCUUGAGCGCCGUGAGCUUCCGGUCCGCGUCGAUCAUGGCCUGCACGUUGGCCACCAGCGCGUCGAUGGUCUUGUCUUGGUCGGUGUCGUCGGGCUGUGGGAGUGGGACGGCGCCGGGGACCCCCUCGGCCAGGUCCUUGUCGAUUUGUGCGCGGAGGAGGGCGAUGUCUUCCCGGGUCUGCUGGGUGUGGUAUGUGGCGGCGAGGUGGGCGCGGGCGUUGGCACAUGCGUAGGGGAAAAGCACGUCGGCGACGAAGGAGAUGGGGGUGGUGGUGCCCUCGAUGUCCAUGACCACGCAUCGCUGCACAAGAACAUACUUGCACAGUUACAGACAUAG